GCGAGACUUGCCAUCGUCGGCUCCAAAAAAGCUAUGGCCUUUUCGAGUCUGUACUGGUCAAACUACACAGCUGGAACAUCCAAAUUAAUGAAAAAAUCAGAAGUUGCUGUUCAGUCGGAACAUGUUUUAAAGUUUGCGUUCGACAAAGAAGCACAAUUUAUAAGGGGAAUUGUACAAGCCUCUAUGCGUGAUCGGAGCUAUCAGGUUACGAUAUCUCUUGGUACAAAUUACACAAUAGAGCAUAGUACAUGUGAGUGUGUUAAUGGGUUGGACAAAUGUCACCACAAAGCCAGCAUUCUGUUGUAUGGAUACAAAAAUGUAAGCAAAACAGAUGUGAGACAGAGUUGGAUUAAACAUCCAAAGAGUGCACCGCCUCGUCAGACUCAAACUAUGGAAGACCUUUUUCCUGCACCUGACCGGUUUAUAAAUUACAGCCAUGCAUUGGAUUUUAGCACCAGAACCACCUGUGCCACAGGUAUGUGUUCCGAUCAUUGACGACUUGUUGGCAAGUCCAGAAUUUCUGGCUGCAGAGCAUCCAUCGACUUGGUUAAGACAGAAACUGAUUGUGAAUGAAGACCAAAUUCAACAGAUUGCUGCUUUGACAGUUGGACAGAAAGAUAACUGCCUCUGGUCUGCAGUGCGAAGAAAUCGUCUUACUGCUUCUAACUUUGGUUGCGUUUUAGCAGCAGUAAAGAGAAAAAGAUACCCUGUUUCCCUUUUUAAGCGCUUAUGCCAAGCCUAUGAUCUGUCAAAGAAAGAUGCAAUAAUCUGGGGAGUUUGUAAUGAAAGAGUAGCAAUAGACAAGUACAGAUCAUUUGGGGAUGCAGUAGUAGAACCAACAGGCAUAUAGCUACACCAUAAUGGUGUCCUUGGAUCUAGUCCUGACCGAAUUAUACGUCGUGCAGCUGCUUUUGGAUUUCACCACCAAAGUCCAGCUUUGACUGAUAUAAUGCAGGCUUACAACAUUCAGCCUGAGAUCCUGGAAGUAAAGUGCCCAUAUUCAGCAAAAGAUAAAACAAUAGCUGAAGCAGUCGAAACCAUUGCUGAUUUUUGCUUAGAGAUUCAAGAAUUUUGUGGGGAGAGAACUUACAAGCUGAAGGAGAACCACCCUUACUAUGAUCAGGUGCAGGGACAGCUUUUUGUAUCCAAUAAACUUGCGUGCGACUUUGUUGUAUGGACACCGAAAGACUUUGUUAUUGUUAGAAUUCCUCAAGACAUUGUAUGGCAAAGCAACAUAUCAGUUCUUACUGACUUUUAUUUUCACAAAUGUGUGCCACAUUUGCAACAAUGAUCUAUUAUUUUCAUAUGUAAUACAUGUAUUAUUCAUGACUCAUAAAUUAUAGUAAUUUGUUGAGCAUCAAGCUUUCUCAAAACAAAUAAGAUUCAUGAAAUAAACACCAGUAUCAGGUUC
rnacentral:misc_RNA from 1 species